rnacentral:rRNA from 1 species
UACGGGGGGGGCAAGCGUUGUUCGGAAUUACUGGGCGUAAAGGGCUCGUAGGCGGCCAACUAAGUCAGACGUGAAAUCCCUCGGCUUAACCGGGGAACUGCGUCUGAUACUGGAUGGCUUGAAUCCGGGAGAGGGAUGCGGAAUUCCAGGUGUAGCGGUGAAAUGCGCAGAUAUCAGGAGGAACACCGGUGGCGAAGGCGGUUCUCUGGGCCGGAACUGACGCUGAGGAGCGAAAGCGUGGGGAGCAAACAGG